rnacentral:rRNA from 2 species
UGGGGAAUCUUGCACAAUGCGCGAAAGCGUGAUGCAGCAACGCCGCGUGCGGGAAGAAGGCCUUAGGGUUGUAAACCGCUUUCAGUUGGGACGAAGCUUCGCGAGUUAAUAGCUCAUUGGAGUGACGGUACCUUCAGAAGAAGCGCCGGCUAACUACGUGCCAGCAGCCGCGGUAAUACGUAGGGCGCGAGCGUUGUCCGGAAUCAUUGGGCGUAAAGCGCGUGUAGGCGGCCGAGUAAGUCUGCUGUGAAAGUCCAGGGCUCAACCCUGGGAUGCCGCAGAUACUGCUUGGCUAGAGUACGGGAGGGGCGAGUGGAAUUCCUGGUGUAGCGGUGGAAUGCGCAGAUAUCAGGAGGAACACCUAUGGCGAAGGCAGCUCGCUGGAACGUUACUGACGCUGAGACGCGAAAGCGUGGGGAGCAAACAGG